AAAACUUUCAACAACGGAUCUCUUGGUUCCCGCAUCGAUGAAGAACGCAGCGAAAUGCGAAAAGUAAUGUGAAUUGCAGAAUUCCGUGAAUCAUCGAAUCUUUGAACGCACAUUGCGCCCCUUGGUAUUCCGAAGGGCAUGCCUGUUCGAGCGUCAUUG
rnacentral:rRNA from 1 species